CCUACGAGAGGCUGCAGUGAGGAAUAUUGGUCAAUGGGCGGAAGCCUGAACCAGCCAAGUAGCGUGCGGGCUGAAGGCCCUACGGGUCGUAAACCGCUUUUGCACGGGGAUAACACCCUCCACUUGUGGAGGUCUGCAGGUACCGUGCGAAUAAGGGCCGGCUAAUUCCGUGCCAGCAGCCGCGGUAAUACGGAAGGCCCGAGCGUUAUCCGGAUUCAUUGGGCUUAACGGGAGCGUAGGCGGGCGUUCAAGUCAGCUGUAAAAUCGCGCGGCUCAACCGCGCCCAGCAGUUGACACUGGACGCCUGGAGUACACAACAGGCAGGCGGAAUUCGUGGUGUAGCGGUGAAAUGAAUAGAUAUCACGAGGAACCCCGAUUGCGAAGGCAGUCUGCCGGGGUGCGACUGACGCUGAGGCUCGAAGGUGCGGGUAUCAAACAGGAUUAGAUACCCUGGUAGUA
rnacentral:rRNA from 1 species